rnacentral:lncRNA from 1 species
GCCAGAAUUAAGACAGAGGCUAAAACUGCGUUUUAUGUCCACUGUAAUGCGCACUAAACCUGGUCUUGGUUGACACUGUAAAGUCAGUUCCAGAGGCAGAUUGUUUCUUUUCACUGCUUGAAAAGAUCUAUGUAUACAUGUCAGGCUCUUAUGUGCACCAGAAAUGGCUUACUGUCCAGAAAGAGAUGUAUGGUGGCACACCUAGAGAGUUACAAAAAUUAAGUGACACAAGAUGGGCAUGUAGAGCAGUAGCUUGCAGGAAUUUGAUGGAUCGAUUACCAGCUGUGUUGUGUGUUCUUCAAAAUAUAAGUGCAGAAAAUCACAGAGACAGGUCCAUUGAUGCUAGAGGUCUGCUUGCACAGAUUGACCUCACAUUUAUAGGCCUCCUUGCAACCUUCCGAAAAGUUUUCGGUGACACAAAGCUGCUUUCUGAACUGUUGCAGUCACCCUCAGUUGAUUUAGCUAUGGCAGCAGACAUGGUGGAGUCACUUCUUGAUACUUUUCAAGAGUAUAGGACUGAGACAUUUACUGAUAAACUGUGGCAUGACAUAGUAGAGACAGCCAAACAGUGCAACAUAGCUGUUGAGAAUGUUGAGAAGAAAAGAGCACAUAAAGUCAGCACCAAACUUGGUGGGUCGUAUGUGACAUGUACUAUAGGCCUGCGCAAGGGUAAUGCAGACAAAGAUUCAUUCAGGCAGGGACUACUCUACCCCAUCCUUGACACCUUAGUUUCUGAAAUGGAAAGAAGGUUCUCAAAAAUGAACUGUUCAGUAAUGAGAGGUAUACAGGCCUUAAAUCCUAAAAGCAGUACAUUCCUCCAGGAUGACCAGGUCUUUGACUUUGGAACAAUAUAUGGGUGUGAUAAGGAGGAUCUUACUCAUGAGCUUCACCAGGCUAGAAGAAUUUUGUCAAGGAAAGCUGAGAGUGGGGCGGCACAGUUGGGAAACAUCCUAGAUUUAACAGUGUUUUUGGAACCAUACCAAGAGGCUAUGCAAAAUAGCUCUAGCCCUCCCAGUCAGCAGUGCUGCAUGUGAGCGGAGUUUUUCAGCUCUAAAGCUCAUUAAAACUCAUUUGAGGACAACCAUGCUAGACAACAGACUAAGCCAUUUAUCUUUGCUAAGUAUUGAGUCAAGAAGAGCGAGGGCACUCAACAUGGAUGAUUUUAUCAAAGUGUUUGCAAGCAAACACAAGAACAGGCGAAUUGCAC